GUGUUGGUACAUGGAAUAUUCCUCAACUGCAUAUAUCAUAAAUUGCUAUUGCAAAUAGAAGUAUUAUGUUCAACAAGUGACAUUUUCAGAUAUUAUUUUGACAAACACACUUUGGUGCUUACAAUUCAUUCUCUAAUGUCAUACAUUUGGUGGUCACUGUCAUCUGUGAUCUUUGUGAUAUGCCUUUCUUUAAGCACUUAAUGAUGAAACUGUCACUUCAUAUUUUUUUCUUAGUCUACAAACGCUCUACAUGUAUUCACUCUGUGAGGGUUGGAUCCUAUAUGCUACGUUUAUUAUUGUCCUGUAAAUGGUUCAGUACCUAUAAUUUAGGCUGUGUGGAGAAUGGGGAAUAAAGGAAAUGAUCUCUACUGCUAAAUUACUACUAGAUUAUAGUGAUAAGGAAAACGGCAUACAAAUUUGGCCUGUAUUCAUUUGCCUAUAACUAAUCAGAAUCCCAUUAUGUUUACAUUAUAAAAAAAGAGUACUUCAAAAUGAGAAGAUCCUGAUAUGGAAAAGACGACUGGGUGGACAUAGUGUUAUAUUUUCAAUAAUGAAUGGUUAGCUGUUAUGUGACAAUUGUUGUAGAUGGCCUGUAAAGCUUACAGAUUUAAGUCUAAUAGCAUGAGAUGAAAGGAGACAAAUAUUAGAGUGUGUGAUAUGAAGGCAUAGUCAGUGGACAUUCUGAACCUUGUUUGAGGUCAUUAGGUCACAUGACCAAAGAGCUAUUGAAAUUUUACACUUUGAAAAAUGCAUGUAAAAACGUGUGAUAUUAAAAUGGAGAACAUAAAGGGUGUGCAAUAGAAGGGUAGUCAGUGGACCAAGGAACUAUUGAAAUUCAUGUCCAAAUCGUGAAAAUAACACCUGUGCAAUGUUGUGCGCAAUUCUUCCAAAAUCAUGACACUUAUUUGGAGUCAGUGGCUCAAGUGGUUUGAAAGCGGAAUAUUCGUUGAAUAUCCAAAUUGAAACGGUAUUUAUCUCGGUGUGUAAUGGAGUUAAAAACAUACCUUAAACAACCUCCUCAGAUAGUUUAGUCUUUAUCCAUAGCUCAAACGGUUGGUAUGUUGUCAAGUAGGGCAGUCACGUGUGUUUGAUCAGAAGAUCACUGGUUCGAGCCCAGUAUGGAGAUAGGGACAGUGGAGGAAGUUAUACUGUUACCAGGACACGGACGUCCAUCUCACUCGACAGGGCUACUAGGAGAUAUAGGAGAGGGUACAACAGAAUGCUGAGGGGGCACAAGUUUUAUACACAUGCAAACUCUGUUUUAAACUCUUUUUGUUUUCCAGACCCAUUUCAAUAUCAUGUCUUUAUAGUUGCUCUUGAUAACGGCAUUCUCCGUCUCCGGUUUAGUGCACGCUGUUCCAAGCCGUGGCAGGUCUUUCAAUUCAGUUCGUGUAAUAAUAAAGGAUAAUCAUAGACCACCCUAUUAUUUAAUGUAUCUAUUUCCAUUAUCAUUGGUGUGUAGUAAAAACCCCAACCCACAUGGGAUCGCCACCCGCUGAUAAAAACAGAAAAAGAAUGCGGAAGUAAAACUGGGAGCGGGUUUGUUUUGUUUGUUGCCAUCAUUCUUUCCUCGUGGACGAAGCCAUACUAGCUGAAUACCCAACUCUCAGUCCACUGCAACAUGUCUAAACUCCAGUCGUUUCGUGUGUUUUUAAAUGAGCGUUUAACUGCAGCAGCUGUGGAGAUUUUCGGGGCAGUUGAAGAAACAGUAGCGGAGUACCACGAGGAGAAUGAUCGGCUACGUAGACUGCUGCGGAUCACACCGAUUAUAAAACGAUGUAACGUAGGUUCGUAUGUAGAUCACUAGCAGUUCUGCUCAAUAAAUAAACUGUUUCAGUGAUCACCAUUUCAAUAUGUAAAAAAAAAAACUAUUACCCGUUUCUAAAACCAGAGGCCCAACAUCGCGAGACUUCCAAACGCAGGUUCGUCAGACUAGGGGCCUCUUAACAGUCGCUAACGUUACACAUUACAUAUCUGCGUGCUUCAUUUCUGAAAAGACUGCGCAAUUACACAAAUAGUAAGAUUUAUAAACUUGGCGUACGCCUGUUUGCCAUUAUAAAUCAGCCCCGUCCUGAAACUGCGCGCGUGAAUGAGCAUUAAAACUCUGCCUGAAAAACGUCCAUUCAUCGUUUUAUAACGCGCUCAUUUGCUGUAUACUUUGGAAGAAUUGGAAUUAGGCCAAGGCCGUUUAAAGGAAAUAUAGCAACGGCGGAACGUGAUCAAAUGUCUCUGGAGGUGUUGGCAGACUGUUUAAAACUUUUACAGUAACAUUUGCUAUAUUUUGACCAUUUCUGAAAGAACUACAAUUGAAAAUGGUCGUGGACCUGUAAACGGAUCGUUUGAAUUCAAUAGCCUAAUGAUUUGCGAUUACUUUUCCCCGAACGUAAAUAUUCUGCACUGCCCGCGAAUUCUGAAACAUUAUUUUUGAGUGGACAGACUAGACAAUGUAAAACAUAUAGCCUAUGCCUAGUUACAGUGGAAGGCCCCAUAACCUACACACGUCAAAGUAAAAUAUAAACUCUGUUCAUCGGUUAAAUUCUACCCCCCCUUGGAUACAGGCUAUUAUUUCAAGUAUUUUACUCUAUUAGAUACAAUUUAAAUGAGACGGGCGUGGUCAUUCGCUGUAAACUAAAGCUUCUUCGGGAAUAUGAACGCAUCAUGGCCAGAAAAAGUGGCGUGGGAUAUAUUCUGCAAUGAUUAUGAAAAUAUAUAUUAUGUUUAUAAAUUAAAUAUUGUUUACUUGAGACAAAAUAAAGACAAAAUAAACGAAAAUUGGAAAGAUGACCCUUCUGUUUUUACCAUUAAUGCGCUUCAGAUCACAUAGAGCAAAAUUCUUCAAAUAGUUGAUCUAUUUACUACUGUAAAGUGGUUCCAAUGAAAUGAGGGAUGGGACGUUUGUAGGCCUAUAGGCUACUUCGCGAGUAUGAAACCAUCACAGUCCAAAAACGAAAGAAAUGUAUUCUGCAAUGAUCAUGGAAAUAAAAUGGUAAAUAGAUGCCUAAUUUAUUUCCAGGAUGUAUCACAUCCGGUCGUAAUUGGGAGACCCAUAGGGCGGCGCAUAAUUGGCCCAGCUUCGUCCGGGUUUGGCCGGGUAUAGGCCAUCAUUGUAAAUAAGAAUUUGUUCUUAACUGACUUGCCUAGUUAAAUAAAUAGAAAAUACACUUUACAAUGGAAAGAUGAAGAAAAAAAUGGAUCUCCACUAACAGAAUCUUGUUAUUAUUUUGAAUAAGAGUGCCAUCAUCAGAUUCCCUGCAGCUCUCUGUCUCUGAAGAGGAGGUUCUCCCUGAGCAGCAGCACUGUGAGCAGGAGUGGAGCCCCAGUCUGGGGCAGGAGAACCCAGAACUUCCACAGAUUAAAGAGGAACAGGUGGAACUCAGGACCAGUCAGGAGGAAGAGCAGCUUCAAGGGCUGGAGGCUGAUAUCAUAGAGUUCAAAUUCAUUCCUUCCUGUGUGAAAAGUGAAUGUGAUCAGGAGGACCCACUUCAGUCCUUGACUCUUCCCCAAACCCAGAAUGUGGAGAACAGAGAGCGUGACCCUAAACAAGUGGAACUCACACCUUUUGUUACUGUGACCCACCUUAAGGGCCUCUACAUUCCCUGUGACCCUCAAGAUAAUCAAAACAAUCUACCCAGCCAAAGCUCAACCUUAAGCAGCGACCCAACGGCACUUGACAGCAGCCCAUCGUUGGAUCCCAACCCACCAUUGGAUUCCAGUCCGUCAUUGGAUUCCAGUCCGUCAUUGGAUCCAAACCAGUCAAUGGUGGAACACUGUUUCAAACCCAGCACCAUGUCUAGAAAAACUCACCGCUGCCAUGACUGUGGCGAAAUGUUUGCAAUGAAAGCUGACCUGCAGAGGCAUGUGACUCUAUUUAAGAAGAGGCCCAGUGAAUGUCGCUUCUGCAAAAGAAACUACAACUCCACCUGUAAACUAAAGGCCCAUAUCCGACUCUGUCACAGUGGGAAACCCUACACCUGCCCUGUUUGUGGCAAGACCUUCAAACUCAAAGGGAAUCUGUCCAAGCACAUGAGGAUUCACACAGGAGUGGGAGAGAAACAAUUUAUCUGUGGAGACUGUGGGAAAAGCUUCUAUCAGAAGGGGGACUUAAGUAGGCAUAUACGGACUCACACAGGAGAGAAAUUAUUUAUCUGUGGUGAUUGUGGGAAAAGCUUCAAUUUGAAAGGGAACCUUAGGAAGCACAAACUGACUCACACAGGAGAGAAACCAUUUCUCUGUGAUGACUGUGGGAAAGGCUUCAGUCAGAAGGGGACCCUAAGGAAGCAUAAACUGACUCACACAGGAGAGAAACCAUUUAGCUGUGGAGACUGUGGGAAAAGCUUCAGUCAGAAGGGGACCCUAAGGAAGCAUAAACUGACUCACACAGGAGAGAAACCAUUUAGCUGUGAUGACCGUGGGAGGGGGGGUGAAUGAGCCAAGUGGAAGCUGGGGAUGAUUAGGUGGUGGAGAUGGUAUGAGGGCCAGAUUGGGAAUGUAGUCUCUCUUGCUUUCUGUGUGUGUAAAGCCAAACUGUUUUAAAUGCAUUGGUUUUUUCAGUCACAUUUCAUUAACGUUCUUUAUAAUUGCUGUUCAUAACUGCCUUCUCUGGUUUAGUGCUUGCUGUCCCAUCGGUUCCAAGCAGCUGCCAUUAGUCACGUGUUACAAUGUGUUGUCUUUUAAUUCAGUUCAUGCAAGGAAUGAUCAUCCUAGAUCAGCCUAUUACUUAACACGUGGGAAAACAAUUAUAUCAUAUUUUUACGUUAUAAUUUGUAUGGAGCUUGUAGUAUAACCCCACCCACAUCGGGGCGCUUUGUUAUGUUUAUGGACUAGCCACCCGCUGAUAAAAACGGAAUAAGACAAUACGGAAGAAACUGUGAGCGGAUUGUUUUGUUUGUGCCCACCAUUCUUUCCUCGUGGACGAAGACAUACUAGCUGAAUACCCAACUCUCCGUUGACAGAAACAUGUCUAAACUUCAGUCGUUUCGUGUGUUUUUAAAUGAGCUUUUAACAGCGGCAGCUGUGGAGAUUUUCGAGGCACUUGAGCAAACAGUAGCGGAGUACCACGAGGAAAAUGUUCGACUACGGAGACUGCUGCGGAUCACACCGGAAAUACAACUACGUAGAAUAGGUUCGUGUAUAGAUAUACUGAUAGCUACAGUUCUACUCAAUAAAUAAACCGUUUAGGCUUUCAGUGAUCACAAUUUUACCAUGUUUUAUGAACUAUUACUAGUGAUGGGGAGAACGAGGAUUUAUGAAGCCUUUGGGGCUUUUCACUAAAUUGUGCCUAAAACAAGGCCACAGGUUCUGAUCUGAAAGCCCAGUUUCAACUGUUCUGAGAGGACAGCUUCGGUAUUACAGUUUAACUGAACACCGGCCAAGACAAAUUCCAUAGAUAGAAACCGUGGUGUCAUAUAUUUGUAGGCACUAACUCUGGCAUAGUUAGUUGAAAAAAAGCAGGCGAGAAAAUUGAAUGGGGUUUUGGUCUGUGGUAAACACAGGCUUAGGAGAUAUUAUACGUUUUGUUCUCUGAGAAUCUUCAUCAGCUAAUGUCACUUUUUGUGAAUUUUGAAGAAAUUGUUGUGAAAAAAGUACAAAGCCAUAACUGCAGGAGGUAGGGGUGCUGCAUCACCCCCUGAUUAAUUAACAAAAUAUACUUAUUUCAAUGUAAUUUAUUUCCCACUUAUUAUAUUACUCCCAUGGGCUUUAUUAUUCCUGUGAGCAGACAGAAAAUGACUCCUCAGCAGCACCCUUCCUUUGGCAGCGAUUACAGCUGGAUACAUGUUUUGUAAUAUUCUUUGUUCUCUGUCUAUUGGGUUGUUAUUGUGGAGUAACGACAAUAUAGUUGAUCCAUCCUCAGUUAUCUCCUCUCACAGCCAUUAAACUCAACUGUCUAAAGUCCCCAUGGGCCUCAUGGUGUAGUCCCUGAGCGGUUUCCUUCCUCUCCGGCAAAUUACUUUGAAAGGACGCCUGUAUCUUUGUAGUGUCUAGGUGUAUUGAUGCCCCAUCCAAAGUAAUUCAUAUCUUCACCAUGCUUAAAGGGAUAUUCAAUGUCUGUUUUUAUUUUACCCAUCUACCAAUAGGUGCCUUUCUUUGCGAGGCAUUGGAAAACCUCCCUGGUCUUUGUGGUUGAAUCUGUGUUUUAAAUGUACUGGCCGACUGAUGGACCUUACAGAUCAUUGUAUGUGUGGGGUACAGAGAUGACGUAGUCAUAAAAUAUAUUGAACACA